rnacentral:rRNA from 1 species
AUUGAACGCUGGCGGAAUGCUUUACACAUGCAAGUCGAACGGGAGCACGGACUUCGGUCUGGUGGCGAGUGGCGAACGGGGGAGUAAUACAUCGGAACGUGCCCAGUCGUGGGGGAUAACGUAGCGAAAGCUACGCUAAUACCGCAUACGAUCUGAGGAUGAAAGCGGGGGAUCGCAAGAACUCGCGCGAUUGUAUCGGCGGAUGGCAGAUGAGGUAGUUGGUAGGGUAAAGGCCUACCAAGCCGACGAUCUGUAGCUGGUCUGAGAGGAUGAUCAGCCACACUGGGACUGAGACACGGCCCAGACUCCUACGGGAGGCAGCAGUGGGGAAUUUUGGACAAUGGGCGCAAGCCUGAUCCAGCCAUUCCGCGUGCAGGAUGAAGGCCUUCGGGUUGUAAACUGCUUUUGUACAGAACGAAAAGGCUCUGGUUAAUACCCGGGGCUCAUGACGGUACUGUAAGAAUAAGCACCGGCUAACUACGUGCCAGCCGCCGCGGUAA